rnacentral:tRNA from 1 species
GAAUCGCUAGCUCAGUUGGCCAGAGCGCCUCGUUUACACCGAGGAGGUCGGGGGUUCGAGCCCCUCGCGAUUCACCA